GGGACGGUCGCGCGGAUCUUCAGAGAUUAGAGUUUGAUCCUGGCUCAGAUUGAACGCUGGCGGCAUGCUUUACACAUGCAAGUCGAACGGCAGCACGGGGGCAACCCUGGUGGCGAGUGGCGAACGGGUGAGUAAUGCAUCGGAACGUACCCAGUCGUGGGGGAUAACGCAGCGAAAGUUGUGCUAAUACCGCAUACGACCUGAGGGUGAAAGCGGGGGACCGUAAGGCCUCGCGCGAUUGGAGCGGCCGAUGUCUGAUUAGCUAGUUGGUGGGGUAAAGGCCCACCAAGGCGACGAUCAGUAGCGGGUCUGAGAGGAUGAUCCGCCACACUGGGACUGAGACACGGCCCAGACUCCUACGGGAGGCAGCAGUGGGGAAUUUUGGACAAUGGGGGCAACCCUGAUCCAGCCAUGCCGCGUGCGGGAAGAAGGCCUUCGGGUUGUAAACCGCUUUCAGACGGAAAGAAAUCGCAUGGACUAAUACUCUGUGUGGAUGACGGUACCGUAAGAAGAAGCACCGGCUAACUACGUGCCAGCAGCCGCGGUAAUACGUAGGGUGCGAGCGUUAAUCGGAAUUACUGGGCGUAAAGCGUGCGCAGGCGGUUUCUUAAGCCAGACGUGAAAUCCCCGGGCUUAACCUGGGAACUGCGUUUGGAACUGGGAGACUAGAGUGUGUCAGAGGGAGGUGGAAUUCCGCGUGUAGCAGUGAAAUGCGUAGAUAUGCGGAGGAACACCGAUGGCGAAGGCGGCCUCCUGGGAUAACACUGACGCUCAUGCACGAAAGCGUGGGGGAGCAAACAGGAUUAGAUACCCUGGUAGUCCACGCCCUAAACGAUGUCAACUGGCUGUUGGGAGAGAAAUCUUUCAGUAGCGAAGCUAACGCGUGAAGUUGACCGCCUGGGGAGUACGGGCCGCAAGGUUGAAACUCAAAGGAAUUGACGGGGGCCCGCACAAGCGGUGGAUGAUGUGAUUAAUUCGAUGCAACGCGAAGAACCUUACCUACCCUUUGACAUGCCAGGAAUCCCGGAGAGAUCUGGGGGUGCCCGAAAGAA
rnacentral:rRNA from 1 species